rnacentral:lncRNA from 1 species
UUCAGUACCAUAAAUUCAGUAAUUUUUUUCUUCCCUAAGAAAAUCUACGUAUCAAACCCAAUCCCAAAACCACCAAUAACAAAGGAGCCUCGAGUUCCAUAUUAAAAUAUAAAUAUUUAAACAUCAAAACUCAGCCCCCACCUGUCAGCCUUAUCCAUUCCUUUUUAUAAAUUCUUCCCCGAGGAAAAUCAAAGUCAGCCCAUCAAUAACUUUUUCCUUACAGUUUUGAAAUAUUAGAUCAGAGAUUAAAAGAGAUGGCUGAUAUUGCUAUGCUUGUUGCUGAGGAAUAUGAAAGGAGGGUGAGGAUUUCAAGAAACAAAGUUGGGGUUGAAAAGCAACAAGAGUUGGGUUCUUGUGUAGGAGUGUUGGCUUUGAAGCUGAAGACCAAAAUUGGGCAUCCAAAACUUGAGGUUUUCAAAUUGGGUUUUGAGCCGAAAUCCCAGAUUGGUGUUGCAGCUUUCAAUGGGGCCUUUUCUGCUUGAUACAUUUUCCACUUCUUUCUUGCUUUUCUUCUUUUCAUAAUCAUUGCUUCUAAAGAGCUGUAAAUUAUUUUUUUAAAAUCUUUUCAUUUGUAAACCCUGGUCAUCGUUAAGAAGCAGAAUUUCUGUUUAUGAUUAUUUGAUCUUUUGUUCUAACUCGGAUUCAUGUGCUAUCUAUUUAUCUAAUUUCUUUUUUGUCUAAAUGUUGCAAUAAACAAUGAUUUGAUCUAUUUCAUAUCUGCCGACAGCUUAAUUGUUGUGGCUUGUGGUUAUAAUAUUAGGUGGUGGUACUCACAUUUAGGAUCAAACUCUAUGAACACCCCUCCCUUCUAAAAAAAACACUAUUUAAUAGGUUGGGAUGAAUUUAAUCUCUGUAUAAAAAAAAAGGAUAACUACAUCUAAAAUCACUCCUUAUGUUGUAUCACAUGUUCUUAUUGGGGAUUUCAACUAGGAAAGAGAUACCCAUUUGUUCUCACAAAACUUGUUUCAUCAUAUUGGCACUCGGCUUCAGAACAUCUUUUCCCCUUUUCUUAGGCCUUUUUAAGAAAGAAACCAUAAUGCGCUUGUGGUCCAAUUCAAUGGCCAAUUCCACAAACCCAAAGCUAUUAGGGAAGAGCCUACUCCAUUCCAUAUUCAUGAGGACCCUAUCAAGUUUUUCCCAAAUAUUUUGAUCCUUAGAAUGAAUAUCUCACCAAGUAAAAUCACCUCCAUAAUAUCCACAUCAAACAAAUAAUUUACAUUAACCCAUGUAUUAAAUUCAUCAACCAAGUAACUAGAAGGGUCUUUUAUUAAGGUAGUUAGUAUCGUAUCAGUGGAUAUAUCAAUUUUUUAUUAAUAUUAGAACAUACCGAUUCCAAUUUAUUUCAAUGCACCGUUUCAGAUUUAUUAAUAUUUUUAAAAACAUUUGAUAUAUAUAUAAAUAAAAAUAUUUACAAAAGUCAAAUAAUAAGAUUAAAUAAAUAUAAAAUAUUAUGUAAAUUUUAAAAUACCAAAAGAAAAAGAUACUCAUCAAUUAUAUAAAAUAUAAAUUAUUCCAUAAAUUAAACAAUAAAAUCAUCCCCUAUAAUUCUAUAACAAUUUAUAAUUCAAAAAAUUCAAAAUAAGUAAUAAAAAUGUAUUUAAAUUUAAAAUUAAUUUUUUUUACAAAUAAAUAAUAAAAAAUUAAUUUUAAAAUAUUUUUUAAAAUUAAAUGUUUUUGUACCAACUCAUAUACCAUAUUUUAUCUGGUACAAGCGAAAUCAAUCGAUAUGGAUUAAAAUUUACACUAAAACGGAACUUAAUUUUAUUUUUUUGAUUUACUAUUGGAAUGAAACGUUCUAACUAAUAUAAAUUAUACCGAAACUAUCCUCUACCAUAUUUCUCUUGGGACUUGAAAAUAUUAACAUCUCCUAUAGGCUUCCAUGCUUCAUCAUUUCUCCCACAAGCUAUCUCAUUCCAAAUAGUGAUUCUAUACAUAAAAAAAAAACAAAAAA